GACGAACGCUGGCGGCGUGGAUUAGGCAUGCAAGUCGAACGGUAUCAUCCUUUCGGGGGUGAGAGAGUGGCGAACUGGUGAGUAACACGUAGGUUAUCUACCCUCAAGACGGGGACAACCCAGGGAAACUUGGGCUAAUACCGGAUGUGAGCAACUUUUUAGUUGUUUGAAAGGUGGCGUAAGCUGUCGCUUGGGGAUGAGCCUGCGUCCUAUUAGUUAGUUGGUGAGGUAACGGCUCACCUAAGCAAUGAUAGGUAGGCGGCCUUAACGGGUGGUCGCCCACACUGGGAUUGAGAUACGGCCCAGACUCCUACGGGAGGCAGCAGUCGAGAAUAGUCUACAAUGGUCGGAAGACUGAUAGUGCGACGCCGCGUGAACGAUGAAUCCCUUCGGGGUGUAAAGUUCUUUUAUAUGUGAGCAGUGCUUCUUAUAUUAACAGUAUGGGGAGAGAGAUAUUAGCAUAUGAAUAAGCAACGGCUAACUCCGUGCCAGCAGCCGCGGUAAUCUUCG
rnacentral:rRNA from 1 species